AGCCCUGUCGAGACGGUCCAAGGGCAACUUGUAAGCGAAAGGUCCGGGGUUCGAUUCCCCGCGCCGGCUCCA
rnacentral:tRNA from 1 species